AUGGUGCCCAGUGCAUCAAGCAACAGCUGGUACCAUGUAAACACCUUAGCAAGUUGCUGCACUUGUCCAGUUGGUGUGACCGGUGCUCCAUGCAAGCACCAAAGCGCAGUUAUGCAGACAUUUAACGUCACAGAGGCAGUCCCUGUAACCACCACAUCUCUUCUGAGGCGGCUUUUCCAUGGAAUCGCCUCUGGGGGUAGCACUCCAGAGGACUGGUUUGAGACACUGGCUUAUGAAAAGGCUGUGGUGGAAGAAGAUGGGUGCUGUGGGUGCGAUGAUGGAGAUUCAGCUGGACCAGCUCCAAAGACCAUCUCAGACGACCCCCAGUCCCAUCUAGCUGAGGAAGCAGGAGCAAGUAAGUUCACCCUCCAAAACCUCAUAAUAAACCA
rnacentral:lncRNA from 15 species